rnacentral:rRNA from 1 species
GUACACUCCUACGGGAGGCAGCAGUGGGGAAUAUUGGACAAUGGGCGCAAGCCUGAUCCAGCCAUGCCGCGUGAGUGAUGAAGGCCCUAGGGUUGUAAAGCUCUUUCACCGGUGAAGAUAAUGACGGUAACCGGAGAAGAAGCCCCGGCUAACUUCGUGCCAGCAGCCGCGGUAAUACGAAGGGGGCUAGCGUUGUUCGGAUUUACUGGGCGUAAAGCGCACGUAGGCGGACUAUUAAGUCAGGGGUGAAAUCCCGGGGCUCAACCCCGGAACUGCCUUUGAUACUUGUAGUCUUGAGUUCGAGAGAGGUGAGUGGAAUUCCGAGUGUAGAGGUGAAAUUCGUAGAUAUUCGGAGGAACACCAGUGGCGAAGGCGGCUCACUGGCUCGAUACUGACGCUGAGGUGCGAAAGCGUGUGGAGCAAACAGGAUUAGAAACCCGAGUAGUCCC